rnacentral:rRNA from 1 species
CAUGUCUUUUUGAUAAUAAUUUAAAGUCUAGCCUGCCCUAUGAAUAAUUAAAUGGCCGCGGUAUUUUGACCGUGCAAAGGUAGCAUAAUAAUUAGUUUUUUAAUUGAGAACUGGUAUGAAUGGUUGGACGAGAAAAGUUCUGUCUCGGUUUAAUUUUAGUUAGAAUUUUAUUUUUAAGUUAAAAAUCUUAAAUAUUUUAAAAAGACGAGAAGACCCUAUAGAGUUUUAUAUUAAUAAAUAUUUUAUUAUUAAAGGUAAAUAAGGAUUAUUAUAUAUUGGUUAAUAUUUGAUUGGGGUGAUUUAAAAAUUUAAUAAACUUUUUAUAUAUUUAUACAUAAAUUUAUGAAUAAUUGAUCCAUUUUUUAUGAUUAAAAGAUUAAAUUACCUUAGGGAUAACAGCGUAAUUUUUUUUGAGAGUUCUUAUUGAAAAAAGAGUUUGCGACC